rnacentral:rRNA from 1 species
GAGUUUGAUCUUGGCUCAGGAUGAACGCCGGCGGUGUGCCUAAUACAUGCAAGUCGUACGCACUGGCCCAACUGAUUGAUGGUGCUUGCACCUGAUCGACGAUGGAUCACCAGUGAGUGGCGGACGGGUGAGUAACACGUAGGUAACCUGCCCUGUACAGGGGAUAACAAUCAGAAAUGACUGCUAAUACCGCAUAAGACCACAGCACCGCAUGGUGCAGGGGUAAAAACUCCGGUGGUACAGGAUGGACCCGCGUCUGAUUAGCUGGUUGGUGAGGUAACGGCUCACCAAGGCGACGAUCAGUAGCCGGCUUGAGAGAGUGAACGGCCACAUUGGGACUGAGACACGGCCCAAAACUCCUACGGGAGGCAGCA